rnacentral:rRNA from 1 species
GACAGAGGGUGCAACCGUUGUUCGGAAUUACUGGGCGUAAAGCGCGUGUAGGCGGCCCUGCAAGUCGGGUGUGAAAUCCCAUGGCUCAACUAUGGAAGUGCACUCGAAACUGCAGGGCUAGAGUCCUGGAGAGGAAGGUGGAAUGCUUGGUGUAGAGGUGAAAUUCGUAGAUAUCAAGCGGAACACCGGUGGCGAAGGCGGCCUUCUGGACAGUGACUGACGCUGAGACGCGAAAGCGUGGGGAGCAAACAGG